GAUGAAGAACGCAGCGAAAUGUGAUACGUAAUGUGAAUUGCAGAAUUCAGUGAAUCAUCGAGUCUUUGAACGCACAUUGCGCCCCCUGGUAUUCCGGGGGGCAUGCCUGUCCGAGCGUCAUUGCUGCCCUCAAGCACGGCUUGUGUGUUGGGCCUCCGUCCUCCUCCCGGGGGACGGGCCCGAAAGGCAGCGGCGGCACCGCGUCCGGUCCUCGAGCGUAUGGGGCUUCGUCACCCGCUCUUGUAGGCCCGGCCGGCGCUUGCCGACACAUCAAUCUUUUUUCCAGGUUGACCUCGGAUCAGGUAGGGAUACCCGCUGAACUUAAGCAUAUCAUAAGCGGAGGA
rnacentral:misc_RNA from 1 species